rnacentral:lncRNA from 1 species
AGAUCUGUGCUGUUUAUCCUGAGGACGACGUGGUUGAUAGUGUGCUUGCACAUUUUGGGCAGUGCCACGAAACGUCUUAAAGAGAGCGACCUGGUCGUGACUCAGCCAGUAAGUGUUAUUUCGUGCCAUUUAGAAUUGUUGUAAGCUACGGUAACAACAAAGCUUACCACCUCUCUAAGAUGCUCACUCAUUUUCUCAACCAAUCAUUGUCAAAUUCAGGUCCCACACUCCUUGAUGAUGAUUGGUGCAGCUGAGCUAAGAGGGGGAUUGUAUAUGCUAACUGAAUUCAGUAAAAAACACA